rnacentral:rRNA from 1 species
UACGUAGGGUGCGAGCGUUAAUCGGAAUUACUGGGCGUAAAGGGCUCGUAGGCGGCCAACUAAGUCGGACGUGAAAUCCCUCAGCUUAACUGGGGAACUGCGUCCGAUACUGGAUGGCUUGGAUUCGGGAGAGGGAUGCGGAAUUCCAGGUGUAGCGGUGAAAUGCGUAGAUAUUGGGAAGAACACCGAUGGCGAAGGCAGCCAUCUGGACCGACACUGACGCUGAGGCGCGAAAGCGUGGGGAGCAAACAGG